rnacentral:rRNA from 1 species
UGGGGAAUAUUGGACAAUGGGCGAAAGCCUGAUCCAGCCAUGCCGCGUGAGUGAUGAAGGCCCUAGGGUUGUAAAGCUCUUUCACCGGUGAAGAUAAUGACGGUAACCGGAGAAGAAGCCCCGGCUAACUUCGUGCCAGCAGCCGCGGUAAUACGAAGGGGGCUAGCGUUGUUCGGAAUUACUGGGCGUAAAGCGCACGUAGGCGGAUUGUUAAGUCGGGGGUGAAAUCCCGGGGCUCAACCCCGGAACUGCCUUCGAUACUGGCAAUCUAGAGUCCGGAAGAGGGGAGUGGAAUUCCGAGUGUAGAGGUGAAAUUCGUAGAUAUUCGGAGGAACACCAGUGGCGAAGGCGGCUCACUGGUCCGGUACUGACGCUGAGGUGCGAAAGCGUGGGGAGCAAACA